rnacentral:rRNA from 1 species
UAGGGAAUCUUCGGCAAUGGGGGGAACCCUGACCGAGCAACGCCGCGUGAGUGAAGAAGGUUUUCGGAUCGUAAAGCUCUGUUGUUAAGGAAGAACGAGUGUGAGAAUGGAAAGUUCAUACUGUGACGGUACUUAACCAGAAAGGGACGGAUAACUACGUGCCAGCAGCCGCGGUAAUACGUAGGUCCCGAGCGUUGUCCGGAUUUAUUGGGCGUAAAGCGAGCGCAGGCGGUUAGAUAAGUCUGAAGUUAAAGGCAGUGGCUCAACCAUUGUAGGCUUUGGAAACUGUUUAACUUGAGUGCAGAAGGGGAGAGUGGAAUUCCAUGUGUAGCGGUGAAAUGCGUAGAUAUAUGGAGGAACACCGGUGGCGAAAGCGGCUCUCUGGUCUGUAACUGACGCUGAGGCUCGAAAGCGUGGGGAGCGAACAGG